UCGUUUUCCUUCGCACGAGAGGAGCGUGCUCGUCCCUUUGUCGACGUCACUGUGGUCCUCCUCCCCUUCCCUCGCCUUCUAGGACCACGCCAACCACUCUCUCCUCCUUAUCCCUUCCGCAAGGCACCAUCUCCAACCACUCCACGCCUCUCCCUCCAUCUUAUCUUCAUCUCCACGAAAGGAACCGAAGGGGGAAAACUCCAUCACUUUUGCCCGGCGCCGCCGUCGAACCGCCAUCUCCGGCCACCUCUUGACGGACCAAGGACACCACGAGCAUAUCCUCGACACGCUAAAUCUCCUCGUCCCAAGAAAUCCACGAAUCGAGCAUGAAAUCGCCCCCCACGACCUCGUUUCUCCUCAGACCUGAGCAUGUCGGCGUUGUUUCCGGUGACCACGGCCCUUCCCCGUCACUGCCGAGCACGCCAAGGUGCGCGUCCUCGCCGGCUGUCCCCGGCGCCCCCUUCAACCUGUGCCACCUUCACCUGGUUCACAAUGACGCAGCACUCCUUCCUCGACCGCUAGCGCCUCCCAGAACCUCAUCCAUCGCCGAGGCCAUCCCCAUCCGCCUCAGCACCAUAUGGCCGCCGUCUUGUUCCGACGAUUUCUUCGUCUCAUUUGCUUCCCCGCCUCCGUCGGUUUCGCCGUGACCUCCCGUUUCUUCAUAGAACAGAACAGCAGCAACAGCACAAGGUUCGCCAGCGUGGCGCCAGCGUGGCCACGGGCCCCAUCCGUCAGCGGCUCUGGCUAGCUCCUCCCCCGCGAUUUGCUUCUUCCCGGAUAGGGUCACGAAGUGACGUUGUGAGAUACGA